rnacentral:lncRNA from 1 species
UAUCACCAUUUCAUUGCUCUACUCCAUUCCGCUUCCAUAGUCUCCUUCCUCAUUCUUCUAGCUGACGCAGUGCUGGCUUUCAUGUGGGUAGCUACUCUGGCUUUUCGCAUGUGUCCCACAGAACGUCAGAUUUUCAUUGAACACCUUGAGCAUUAUGCCAAGGAGAGUAAUUACCCGGGUUUGGAUGUGUUUAUAUGCACUGCUGAUCCAUAUAAGGAGCCACCGAUUGAUGUGGUGAACACUGCUCUGUCUGUGAUGGCAUACGAUUAUCCAACAGAGAAGCUGUCGGUAUAUGUGUCGGAUGAUGGAGGUUCCCAGCUGACUCUCUUUGCUUUUAUGGAGGCUGCAAGGUUUGCCUCCCACUGGCUACCCUACUGUAAGAAGAACAAGAUUGUAGAGAGGUGCCCCAAAGCUUAUUUAACAUGGGCUCACAUUGAUCUCAAUUAUUCUAGCAUGGGCUCUUUAUUUAACAUCUUCGAUAGCAUUCUAAGAUAUGGGGACUUGAUUAAUUUUCUCAUUGUUUGCUCCAUUAGUUCCCUAGUUGAAUCAAGAAGAGACACAUCAUUUUUACUUAACAUCAUGUCUACCUUUUUUGGAAAGAAAACAAGAGUACCUCAACCAACAUGGAUAUCUACGUGGCUAAGACAGUCUAAAUAGGGAAUAUUUUUUAGGCCAACUCACAUCUACAUUUCUACUUUUUAAUUUUAAAUCACCCCAAGUUGGGCCAAAAAUCCUUGAAGUGUGCUGACUAUUCAUGGAUUAAAAUUUCCAGAGUUGACUCUCCUGACGUAAUUGUGGACAAGUUCACACGACUUUACUUUUCUUUGUCCCAACAAAACACUGAAAUGUUUCUUGAGCUCAAUAAUUACAUACACUGUUCUUCUCCUAAUAAAGCAGUCGAUAAUUUCUUGAAUUUAGUCUCUUUACGACAUUGGCAGAAGAAUACAAGACUACGUCUGCAUCACACUGUUUUUCUUCCUCCUGAUAAAGACAUCCAAUUUCAUUUUCUUGGCGCCAUCUUUGGUUGAAGAAGACAAAACUAUAACAUUCUUGGACUAGUCCUACUCUGGAGCACAUCUUUUAUUAAGGCUUACUACAGAGUCCUGACAAUCUCGUCCAGGCACCGGACCAGCAGGGGAAAAAUGGGAGGUGAGGGGGCGACUGAGAGGAAGAGCACCGCCAGCCAUGGCCUUCCUCUUCUUCACACAAGGGCGCUCAUGCGUCGGACCCCAGCAAACCGAGUAUUCGCAGUUGUAUACUUGUGUGUCAUCUUGGCUCUGCUAUAUCACCAUUUCAUCGCUCUACUCCAUUCCACCUCCAUAGUCUCCCUCCUCAUUCUUCUAGCUGACGCAGUGCUGGCUUUCAUGUGGGUAACUACUCUGGCUUUUCGCAUGUGUCCCACAGAACGUCAGAUUUUCAUUGAACACCUUGAGCAUUAUGCCAAGGAGAGUAAUUACCCGGGUUUGGAUGUGUUUAUAUGCACUGCUGAUCCAUAUAAGGAGCCACCGAUUGAUGUGGUGAACACUGCUCUGUCUGUGAUGGCAUACGAUUAUCCAACAGAGAAGCUGUCGG